AGAGAGAGACAUGCGCGCAUAUCAAUAAGCGGAGGAAAAGAAACUAACUAAGGAUUCCCUCAGUAACGGCGAGUGAAGCGGGAAGAGCUCAAAUUUGAAAUCUUCAAGGUUCUACCUUGACGAAUUGUAGUUUAAAGAAGUGUUUUCGGUUAGAGGAGUUUAGUAAAAGUUCUUUGGAAUAGGACAUCAUAGAGGGUGAGAAUCCCGUAUUUGACCUAUUAUUUCCUAGCUUUGUGAUACACUUUCAAAGAGUCGGAUUGUUUGGGAAUGCAGUCCAAAAUGGGUGGUAAAUUUCAUCUAAAGCUAAAUACUGGCGAGAGACCGAUAGCGAACAAGUACCGUGAGGGAAAGAUGAAAAGAACUUUGAAAAGAGAGUUAAACAGUACGUGAAAUUGUCAAAAGGGAAGCGUUUGACACCAGUGUCGUUUUCUCGAAAAUCAAUUAAAAAUGGUGGGAUUUUGUGUUGUAUUGACUUUAUCAGCUUUCUGCACUUUUUUCCUGUCUUUUUUAAUGCACUUUUCGUUUAACAAGUCAACAUCAGUUUCUUUUGUUGUAAAAGGGUCAGUUGGAAGGUGGCUUUCUUUUCGGAGAAAGUGUUUAUAGCCUUUGACUUCUGCAGUCGGAGAGAUUGAGGUCUGCAGCGUAGAUCCUUCGGGGUUAGAUGCAUUUGUGCUAAGUUAUAGCCUUUCAUAGACAACUUGUUGACUAUGAUCAGUCAUGUAGCUUACUCGCUUAUGUCAUUUUACCUACGCUUAGGAUGUUGACAGCAGUAUAGACUGU
rnacentral:rRNA from 1 species